rnacentral:tRNA from 1 species
GAGGGUGUAGCUCAGUGGUAGAGUGGGUGCUUAGCGUGCACCAGGUCCUGGGUUCAACCCCCAGCACCUCCA